rnacentral:rRNA from 1 species
GAUGAACGCUGGCGGCGUGCUUAACACAUGCAAGUCGAACGAGAAGUGAAGACGGAAACCUUCGGGCGGAAGGCUUUAUUUCGAGUGGCGGACGGGUGAGUAACGCGUGGGUAACCUGCCUCAUACAGGGGGAUAACAGUUGGAAACGACUGUUAAUACCGCAUAAGACCACAGCACCGCAUGGUGCGGGGGUAAAAACUCCGGUGGUAUGAGAUGGACCCGCGUUCGAUUAGCCAGUUGGCGGGGUAACGGCCCACCAAAGCGACGAUCGAUAGCCGAUCUGAGAGGAUGACCGGCCACAUUGGGACUGAGACACGGCCCAAACUCCUACGGGAGGCAGCAGUGGGGAAUAUUGCACAAUGGGGGAAACCCUGAUGCAGCGACGCCGCGUGAGUGAAGAAGUAUUUCGGUAUGUAAAGCUCUAUCAGCAGGGAAGAAAAUGACGGUACCUGAGUAAGAAGCCCCGGCUAACCACGUG